ACCAAAUUCGACACAAUUGCUCUGGCAGGAUUUUUUAACUUAGAUGCAUGUAUAUAAUCUUAGGAUUUGAAGAAUUUGAUUCCAGAAUCCGAGUUUAGUUUUCAGACAUCAACGUCAGUGAUGUUCCCAAA